UGAGCAUGUGUAGGAACUACAUCC
rnacentral:siRNA from 1 species